rnacentral:tRNA from 1 species
GGCGGUGUAGCUCAGUUGGUAGAGCAGCGGAAUCAUAAUCCGCUGGUCGGGGGUUCAAGUCCCUCCGCCGCUACCA